GGACUACACGGGUUUCUAAUCCCGUUUGCUCCCCUAGCUUUCGCGCCUCAGCGUCAGUAGAGGUCCAGCGUGCCGCUUUCGCCACCGGUGUUCCUUCCGAUAUCUACGCAUUUCACCGCUCCACCGGAAGUUCCGCACGCCCCUACCUCCCUCCAGACAGCCAGUAUCAAAGGCACUUCCACGGUUGAGCCGUGGGCUUUCACCCCUGACUUGGUUGCCCGCCUACGCGCCCUUUAAGCCCAGUGAUUCCGAACAACGUUCGCACGGUUCGUCUUACCGCGGCUGCUGGCAC
rnacentral:rRNA from 1 species